UUCAGACUCUUUCCUCUAACCGUCUUUCCUUAACCUUCUUCACUUUUCUCUGUUCUCUAAGCUUCUUCCCCAUCUUUACUCCUCUUCAUGCUUCUCCUUCAAUAAAACGUGAACUUCUUGGGCCCUCCUUCGAGCUUUUUCUUCGUUUUCAUCAGUGCGUGCGUGUGGCUUUUCUCCUUCGUCUUGAACACUAUCUUUCUUUCAGGUUUGUUCUCAUCUUUCACAUUUCGUCUUCCUCGAGUUUCCUCUUUCCACUCGAGAGCUCCUCAUUCACAAACCAUUUUACUUCACACAAUCUUCUUCUUCUUUCAUAUUUAGCUUUUCCAUAGCCUUUGCAACCAUCGAACGUUUGUUCUACCGAUUCAUUAGUCGAUCUACAUCUCUAGUUAGGGCUCCAACCUCUUUUCACCAUUUUCUUCAUUUUCAACCGAUUAAAUCCUCUUUUCUAUCGAUUAAAAGCCUUUCCACCGAUUGAUUCUUCGAUUAGCAUCAUUUACACCGAUCAAUCUUGCAUUUGCACCGACUAAUCGAUCCAUUUUAGGUUUCCUUCGUCAACCUAGGGUUUUAGGGUUCUUCGCGUCGAAUCCUCUCCGUUUUUGGAGUAUUCCUGGAUUCUCAGGGUUUGGAAGAAAUUGCACACAAAUGCUAUUCAGGAGAACAACUGAAAGAUGCGUUGUCCAGCUGGAGCCAUGCUUUCACCGCAACUGCAGGUAUCACUGGUUGGGAUGACAAAGAUUUCAGGGGAUAAGAGCUAUCGAAGGAUUGUCCCUGAAACUGCAUUCCAGCAUUAGAGAUUGCUUGGAAGCUCGUUCUUUCAAGAAAAUGAAGAGACUAAGACUCCUACAACUUGAUCAUGUACAACUUAGUGGAGAUUAUGGAUGACUGAGUAUGAUGAGUAUGGCACACCUCUGGACCGUGAAACAUUUAUGAAAGAGCUUGAGAAUUUCUACAGACAGCGGUCCUUGGAAUUUAAGCCUCCUAUGUUUUACGGAGAGCCUCUAAAUUACCUUAAGUAUGUAUAAUAUCCCCUGUGACGCAAGGGUGUAACCCCUUUCACAUAAGCAUUCUAAAGGCUAGUUUAAGUUGGCCUGACCUCCUUGAUAUUUGAAUGUGUUAUUACAUUGUUCUGAUAGUGGAUCCCUUACUUUUCAACUGGCUGCAGGUUGUGGAGAGCUGUUAUCAGACUGGGUUGCUAUGAUGUGGUAUGGACUUGUCUUACAUGUUAUUUUUGACAGAUCAUCUCUUUGAAUAGUUCUAGGCCAUGGCUGUAAUUCUUGCAUUACUUUUCUUACUUCAAACUCAAGGUUGUUGUUAAUGCUAUUUCUAAUAGCUUCAUCCCGUUCAUAUCUUGCGUAGGAUAAAAGGGCCGUUUAAAUGAACCAAAUGUUUGCAUCACAUGGACUAACCCUAAUUGAUCUAGUUGCUCUAUCAGGUAUUUCAAGCAAUUGGUGCUUUCAGAGGAUUUCUAAGACCAUAUUCUCUUAUCGCAAUUAUAUUUAUUUACAUAUCCCUGUAUAGAAGGGUCUCCAACAACAUUUAAAUCACAUUCUGGUAGAUUGGGUCACCUGUGCAUCAAUCUUGUUUUCAUUCUUCUUAUCCUAACUAUAUGGCAUCUAGUGGUCCUAAUCCACCUCCUCCACUCUAGGCACAAUCUAAUAAGGAGAAGGGAAAAAGCAACGUGGUGAAGUUGUUAUCACGGUGAUGGAGUGCAACAACAAUGUCAAUCCAAGAUGAACAAAAUCCUUAGUGAUUAUUAGGAAAUUAUAGACUUGUCAUUCUAUGUUGUUUGACAUUUUAUGAAUUGUAGAAUUUAUAUUGUUUGACAUCUUAGGAACUGCACAAUCUAUUUAUGAAUAUUAGACAUUUUGUAAACUUAUUUGAUAAUGAUUUUUAAGUAAUAUAUAUCUAUUUUUAGUGUGAAA